GGUUGCGUGGCCUAGUGGUUCAAGGCAUCUGCUUCACACGCGGAAGAUCGCAGGUUCGAACCCCUGCCGUGACCA